rnacentral:rRNA from 1 species
UACGUAGGCAGCGAGCGUUGUUCGGAGUUACUGGGCGUAAAGAGCGCGUAGGCGGCCAGAUAAGUCCGGUGUGAAAGUCACAGGCUCAACCUGUGAAUGCCGCUGGAAACUGUCUGGCUAGAGUCCGGGAGGGGCGAGUGGAAUUCCUGGUGUAGCGGUGAAAUGCGCAGAUAUCAGGAAGAACACCCGUGGCGAAGGCGGGUCUCUGGGCCGAUACUGACGCUGGAGGAGCGAAAGCGUGGGGAGCGAACAGG